UACGUAGGGUGCAAGCGUUAAUCGGAAUUACUGGGCGUAAAGCGUACGCAGGCGGCUAUGUAAGACAGGUGUGAAAUCCCCGGGCCUAACCUGGGAACUGCAUUUGUGACUGCAUAGCUAGAGUCCGUCAGAGGGGGGUGGAAUUCCACGUGUAGCAGUGAAAUGCGUAGAGAUGUGGAGGAACACCGAUGGCGAAGGCA
rnacentral:rRNA from 1 species